UGAAUAAUAGUUUAAAAAAAAAUAUUUAAUUUGCAUUUAAAAGAAAUUAUAAAUUUAAUUUAUUUAA
rnacentral:tRNA from 1 species